rnacentral:lncRNA from 10 species
CAUGCAUCUCCCUUUCUCUGCCAAACUCUUCCUUGAUGACACACAAGAUCCGAGGAUGAAUGAUUGCCCUCUUGAACUCAUUACACUUUCCUUGCCUAGAAUCUGGGGACAGAAUGAAGGCUCUGUCUUCUACUCCAUCAUCUUGUUGGCAUCACUCCUGGAAAAGAUAUUCCAGUGCAAAGUUGAGUGUGGAUCAUCUUUAGGGAUGUAAUCUCGACUUCCCUUCGGAGAAAAGGAGAAAUACCACAUUUGUUGGAAGCCAGUCUCCAAGAAAGUUCACAGUUUUUCCUGAUGCCUAUUGUCAAGCUCAGCAGAGCUGCCUGCCUCCAGCUCCAGUAUUAGAACUAUCCUGGUGUAAUGUGCAAAAAAAGAGAACAGAGAGAAGAUAGAACAAUCAUCAAAUUCUUACUCUCAUAUUUCUACAAACAUGAAAAGAUAAAAUCUAAGAGGGAGAACAAGUAAGUCAGGGAUUACGGCUACGAUUCAGUUUCGAGAUUCCACUAAUUGAUCAGAGAAAAAGAAUGGACUGCAAGAUGAGCUUAAAUCAUGUUAUUGUUUCACAAUCACAAAGACAAGACUGGUGUCCACAUUAGAAGAAGAAGAGAUACCAGGAGUAAAUACACACAGAGACAAGACUGUAUGAGGACACAGAAAGAAGGCAGCCAUCUGUCAGCAAACAUGAGAGGCCUCAGAAGAAAUCAAAUUUUGGGCACCUUGAUGUUGGACUUCCAUCUUCC